rnacentral:tRNA from 1 species
GCACCCAUAGUUCAGCUGGAUAGAACGCUAGUUUGCGGUACUGGAGGUCACAGGUUCGAAUCCUGUUGGGUGUA